AUGGCUGUCGUCAGCUCGUGUCGUGAGAUGUUGGGUUAAGUCCCGCAACGAGCGCAACCCUCGGCCUUAGUUGCCAUCAUUAAGUUGGGCACUCUAAGGCGACUGCCGGUGAUAAGCCGGAGGAAGGUGGGGAUGACGUCAAGUCAGCAUGACCCUUAUGUCCAGGGCUACACACGUGCUACAUUGGCCGGUACAAAGGGCUGCAAACCCGUGAGGGGGAGCGAAUCCCAAAAAGCCGGUCCCGGUUCGGAUUGAAGGCUGAAACUCGCCUUCAUGAAGGCGGAGUUGCUAGUAAUCGCGGAUCAGCAUUGCCGCGGUGAAUACGUUCCCGGGCCUUGUACACACCGCCCGUCACACCACGAAAGUCGGCAAUACCCGAAGCCGGUGGGCCAACCCGCAAGGGAGGCAGCCGUCGAAGGUAGGGUUGAUGAUUGGGGUGAAGUCGUAACAAGGUAGCCGUAGCGGAAGCUGCGGCUGGAUCACCUCCUUUCUAGGGAUCCCAGUAGCAAUUACUACUGGUGGCUGCCAGGCUUGUUGAUGGAUUGAACGUAAUCCGUCCAUGAUCUGGCUCGCCUAGAUCAACGUUGACCUCGACAAAGAUGUUCGCUGUUGAGUUUUGAGAGACCGGCCGUGGCCGUGCCCUUGGGCACACUCGAGCCGGCGUUCUCUCGUUGGGCGAGCUGGGCUCGCGCGCACCUUGAAAACUCCAUAGCUGCGAAAUUAUGAGUUCUUCACGAUCAAGAGAAUAAGGGCACACGGUGGAUGCCUUGGCGCCAAGAGCCGAAGAAGGACGUGGGCGGCUGCGAUAAGCUCGGGUGAGGUGCUGACCAACCUUUGACCCCGAGAUUUCCGAAUGGGGAAACCCGG
rnacentral:sRNA from 1 species